UACACAUGAUGAUAAGUAAUUCUUUGAUCAAUUCACAGUGAUAUGUAUAAUAAAAUAUCGAGCUUUUUAACACUGAUAAAA
rfam:Apis mellifera strain DH4 linkage group 7, whole genome shotgun sequence.